rnacentral:rRNA from 1 species
UACGUAGGGGGCAAGCGUUGUCCGGAUUUAUUGGGCGUAAAGAGCGUGUAGGCGGCCACACAGGUCUGCUGUGAAAACUCGAGGCUCAACCUCGAGCUGUCGGUGGAAACCGUGUGGCUAGAGUCCGGAAGAGGAGAGUGGAAUUCCCGGUGUAGCGGUGAAAUGACGCAGAUAUCGGGAAGAACACCCGUGGCGAAGGCGGCUCUCUGGGACGGUACUGACGCUGAGACGCGAAAGCGGUGGGGAGCGAACAGG